rnacentral:rRNA from 1 species
UGGGGAAUUUUGGACAAUGGGCGAAAGCCUGAUCCAGCCAUACCGCGUGCGGGAAGAAGGCCUUCGGGUUGUAAACCGCUUUUGUCAGGGAAGAAAUCUUCUGGGCUAAUACCUCGGGAGGAUGACGGUACCUGAAGAAUAAGCACCGGCUAACUACGUGCCAGCAGCCGCGGUAAUACGUAGGGUGCAAGCGUUAAUCGGAAUUACUGGGCGUAAAGCGUGCGCAGGCGGUUCCAUAAGACAGAUGUGAAAUCCCCGGGCUCAACCUGGGAACUGCAUUUGUGACUGUGGAGCUAGAGUACGGUAGAGGGGGAUGGAAUUCCGCGUGUAGCAGUGAAAUGCGUAGAUAUGCGGAGGAACACCAAUGGCGAAGGCAAUCCCCUGGACCUGUACUGACGCU